UUGGGUAAAUGAACAAUUUAGGAAUCACAGGAUCCAAUCAAAACUCCAAAGCUAAGCAGGGUUGGGAUGAGAGUAGUAAUAAGGAUGAGUGAUGUAUUGGCAAUUCCUCGUGUUACACCCC
rnacentral:rRNA from 1 species